rnacentral:rRNA from 1 species
UAUUGCACAAUGGGGGAAACCCUGAUGCAGCGACGCCGCGUGGAGGAAGAAGGUUUUCGGAUUGUAAACUCCUGUCGUUAGGGACGAUAAUGACGGUACCUAACAAGAAAGCACCGGCUAACUACGUGCCAGCAGCCGCGGUAAAACGUAGGGUGCAAGCGUUGUCCGGAAUUACUGGGUGUAAAGGGAGCGCAGGCGGACCGGCAAGUUGGAAGUGAAAACUAUGGGCUCAACCCAUAAAUUGCUUUCAAAACUGCUGGCCUUGAGUAGUGCAGAGGUAGGUGGAAUUCCCGGUGUAGCGGUGGAAUGCGUAGAUAUCGGGAGGAACACCAGUGGCGAAGGCGACCUACUGGGCACCAACUGACGCUGAGGCUCGAAAGCAUGGGUAGCAAACA